rnacentral:rRNA from 1 species
CAAUAGCGUAUAUUAAAGUUGUUGCGGUUAAAAAGCUCGUAGUUGGAUUUCUGGGAGGGUGCCAAUGUCCGCCGACGUGCGUGCGCAGCGGCGCCCUUCCAUCCUUCUGUUAACGCCUCUUGGCAUUCAUUUGCUGGUGGCGGGCUCAGAUAUUUUACCUUGAGAAAAUUAGAGUGUUUCAGGCAGGCUAGGCCGGAAUACAUUAGCAUGGAAUAAUGGAAUAGGACUACGGUCUCUUUGUUGGUUUGAGGGACUGCAGUAAUGAUUAAUAGGGAUAGUUGGGGGCAUUAGUAUUUAAUUGUCAGAGGUGGAAUUCUCGGAUUUGUUAAAGACUAACUUAUGCGAAAGCAUUUGCCAAGGAUGUUUUCAUUAA